rnacentral:rRNA from 1 species
CAUAUCGGUAUAUCCUACGGGAGGCAGCAGUGAGGAAUAUUGGUCAAUGGGCGCAAGCCUGAACCAGCCAUCCCGCGUGAAGGAUGAAGGCCCUAUGGGUCGUAAACUUCUUUUAUACACCAAGAAAAAGCAGGACGUGUCCUGCCCCGACGGUAGUGUAUGAAUAAGCAUCGGCUAACUCCGUGCCAGCAGCCGCGGUAAUACGGAGGAUGCGAGCGUUAUCCGGAUUCAUUGGGUUUAAAGGGUGCGUAGGCGGCUUUUUAAGUCAGUGGUGAAAUCUUGCCGCUUAACGGUAAAAUUGCCAUUGAUACUGAUAAGCUUGAGUACAAUUGAGGUAAGCGGAAUGUGUAGUGUAGCGGUGAAAUGCUUAGAUAUUACACAGAACACCGAUUGCGAAGGCAGCUUACUAAACUGUUACUGACGCUGAUGCACGAAAGCGUGGGGAGCGAACAGGAUUAGAUACCCUGGUAGUCCACGCCGUAAACGAUGAUCACUCGCUGUAUGCGAUACACAGUAUGCGGCCAAGCGAAAGCAUUAAGUGAUCCACCUGGGGAGUACGAUCGCAAGGUUGAAACUCAAAGGAAUUGACGGGGGCCCGCACAAGCGGAGGAACAUGUGGUUUAAUUUCGAUGAUACGCGAGGAACCUUACCUGGGCUUAAAUGGGGAACGACAGCAGCCGAAAGGUUGCCUUCUUCGGACGUUCUUCAAGGUGCUGCAUGGUUGUCGUCAGCUCGUGCCGUGGAGGUGUCGGGUUAAGUCCCAUAACGAGCGCAACCCUUAUCGUUAGUUGCCAGCGGGUGAUGCCGGGGACUCUAGCGAGACUGCCACCGUAAGGUGUGGAGGAAGGUGGGGAUGACGUCAAAUCAAGCACGGCCCUUAUGUCCAGGGCUACACACGUGUUACAAUGGCAAGUACAAAGGGCAGCUACCUGGUGACAGGAUGCUAAUCUCUAAAGCUUGUCUCAGUUCGGAUCGAAGUCUGCAACCCGACUUCGUGAAGCUGGAUUCGCUAGUAUAUAGGCAUAUCAGCCAUGAUGCGGUGAAUACGUCCCGGGGCUGUACACACCGAUCGAGCACCCGAA